CCUACGGGUGGCAGCAGUGGGGAAUAUUGCACAAUGGGCGCAAGCCUGAUGCAGCCAUGCCGCGUGUGUGAAGAAGGCCUUCGGGUUGUAAAGCACUUUCAGCGGGGAGGAAGGCGGUGAGGUUAAUAACCUCAUCGAUUGACGUUACCCGCAGAAGAAGCACCGGCUAACUCCGUGCCAGCAGCCGCGGUAAUACGGAGGGUGCAAGCGUUAAUCGGAAUUACUGGGCAUAAAGCGCACGCAGGCGGUCUGUCAAGUCGGAUGUGAAAUCCCCGGGCUCAACCUGGGAACUGCAUUCGAAACUGGCAGGCUAGAGUCUUGUAGAGGGGGGUAGAAUUCCAGGUGUAGCGGUGAAAUGCGUAGAGAUCUGGAGGAAUACCGGUGGCGAAGGCGGCCCCCUGGACAAAGACUGACGCUCAGGUGCGAAAGCGUGGGGAGCGAACAGGAUUAGAUACCCCAGUAGUC
rnacentral:rRNA from 1 species